CAGAAGGAGAAGCAGACCCCCCCCGACUGAACAAGGAGCCCAAAGCAGGACUUGAUCCCAAGACCCCAGGAUCAUGACCUGAGCCAAAGGCAGACACUCAACUGACUGAGCUACCCAGGCUCCUCACAUUGGUUAAUUCUUUAUAAGACAUUCCAAACAUCAAUAUCUGAUAAGUAUUAAAUAUGCUUUCUUCUCAUUUGUUUGAGGCUAAUUUUUAACAUUUCACUCUUUAAGCCAUCAGAACUUUCAUUUGAUCAAGGUAACAUUUUUUUCUUCAAAAUAGUGUUAUAGUUAUUCCAGCACUGUUUAUUGCAUAUUUGCUCUUUUUCCCCCAUUAAAUUACGAUACAUUUAAUUACACUACAUUUAUCUUGCACUAAAUCGUUAUAUAUACAAACACUAAAUAUUAUGAAUACAAACCAAGUAUUGGUUUCUUGGCCAUUCGUUUUGUCCAACUGAUGUACCUGUAUUUCCUUGAAGCAGUACGUGCCACUUUCUUUAUUAAAGUCAGAGUCAUAGGGCUGCUGUAAAAGAAUUCUUGUCUGUUCUGGAAUUUUCAUUUUAAAGACCCCUGUUUUAUUGUAAGGAGCUGAAAAAUUACUUACAAAGAUGUAUAUGUACAUAAUUUAUCCAUGCAUCUUCAUUAUCAAAGGCUUUUGGAUAUUUUAGAUGAAUGUAACAUAGCACGAUAGAAUGAAAACAUUUACAAAUAAGGUAAACUCAGGGGUCGGUUAGGAUAUGAAAUAAUUGUCCUAGUGAGCCAGAGUUACAGGAGAAUCGGCCCUGUAUUAUCAGCUCUAAGCAUUUGGUUGGCCAAAAGCAAAGAAGGAAAUGUGACCAGUUAGAAGAUUCCAAGGUUAAGUGAUAGAAAUGAUCUUUUCAGAUGUUCUGCUCUCCCAACCCUGAGACCCACACUGGUGGCAAACAUUCAAGAUGACAUCCCUACAAAUGGCGGCCAUGGGCCGUCAGGCGCAGACUGGAACUACACCACCAGCUCUCCUAGCUCUCCAGUUUGUGGACUCACCCUGAAGAUCCUGGGGCUUGUCAACCUCCAUAUUAAUGACUCCUUGGAGAAGUUUGCAUGACAUUCUGUUUGACGUAAAAUCAGCAUGUGUCCCAAGUAAAUCAACAACAGCUGUUUUAAAUAGCAGAUUGUAUCCCAAAAUAUCAUUAUGAACGAAGGGAAGAAUUGCUUGGAUGCUUAGGUUUUCAGAUUACACUGAUGGGAUCCUAGCAUCUGGACAUGGUGGCCAUGGGUAGAUAGAGUUCAAGUUGCCUGAGACAUGGCAAGCUAUUUAACAGAAGAUGUGACCUUUGGGGGGAAUUUUAAUAUGAUCUCAGGGUUAGAGAUGCCAGGAAGAAAGGAGCCCAGCUACACUGCAAGGAGUCAUGCUUCAGUUACUUGAAGCUUUUACUUGGAGUCUUGGGGAUUUCUCUGAAUGGGCCAGCAAAGCCGUUCAAUAACAGAUGGUCCCCCCAAACACCCACAUCAGUGUUCUAGCAAAUCUUCAGUACCAAGAAUUUGUUGUAUAAUAGGAUGGCCUAAUUGUAUUGUGCAAUGUUACUGAAAAAGUUUCUGUUCCGUGACUUAAAGAAUGUUUUAGAUUCAGGACAGAACCAGCUCUACCUUCAGUCUCUCGCAUUGCCUCCCAUUCAUCGGGAUUCCUUUGACAAUGACUGUGGCACCCCCCCUACUUGGAUAUCUAGCCUAAGAGAAAGGGUUAGGCAUUUCUUCUUCACCUCCUAACAAUUGCCUCUGAGCAAUAUAUUUCCUUUCCACAUCCUGCCAAAUGCAGGCGUUACCUGAUGAAACUGUUCCACUGAAUUGCACAAAGCUUCAGACUGUGGGUGGCUCAUGCAUAUCUCAGGAGCUUCAGAGCAGACCCAGUGUGUCUUACCCAUGCAGGCAGCACUUCCCUGGGGAGCCUCCUUUCUGCCUUAUUUUGUAGGCUUGCUAAGGGGCAUUGCACCAACUUUCACUUCUAAGAGCUCCCUCCCUGAAUGAGCAGGGUUGUCCACUGGGCACUGCUUUAUAAGUCCCUGUGCACCUCGUACUGACUGGGAUGGCUACUUAAAAAAAAUCAAAGGAAUGCCUGGGUGGUUCAGUGGUUGAGCAUCUGCCUUUGGCUCAGGGCG